UAAUAAUGCACUAAUUAGACUAAGGACAAAUCUACUUAAAUUAGAAUACAUGCCUCAUAAUAAAUCUCCUUUUCUUACUUCACUUAUCUUUAAGAAAUUUCUUAAACUCAUAUAUUAUUUGAUGCGUGUUCAUCCACUAUUUUCGGGCUUCGACUAAAUUGGACCUACGUAUCUUUUUACUUUGAAAAUUAAUUCCAAGAUUCAUUUUAGUUUGAUUACAUCAUUUGAAGAAAUCAUAAACCAAUAAUUAAAGUAAACAAUAAUGAAAUCUUAUUUUCAAACUUAGGCUAAAAAUUAAUACCAGAUUUGCUCCCAAAAGAUAUUAUUUUCUACUAGAUGAAGGCCCUCUUUCAUUUUCAGCCCAAAACAUAAAUAAUUUCGGAAUUGGGCUUCCCUCUAUUAAACAGCCUUCAUGAAUUAACGAAUUUGGGCUUAUCUUAUUUCCUCACUCCCUCGCCCAAGUAUGAAAAUUAGCCCAAGUAAAUAAAAACACUAGCCCAACCAUUAAGCCCAUUUAAAGAAAACCUAUGUUAUAAUACCCAAGUCUUCUUCUUCCUCCCCAAUUCACCAAAAUGAACACUCUCCCCCCUCACACAUUGCCGCCGCCGCCAGCCUCCCUCCGGUGCCGCCGUCGCGCCCGUCGCCUCCGGCGGUGGUCCUUCCUCCUCCUCCUUCUCUCUUUCUCCCUUCUCUCACUCUCUCUAUUCCUCUCCAGCCUCACGCCGCCGCCCUCUCUCUCCCGAUCCGCCGCCGCCGCCGCCGCUGAUCUGUCUCCGUCGCCUCCUUCCUCUCCUCCUCCUCCUCCUUUCUUUCCCUCGGCUCCCUCUUUCUCUCUCGGAUUUGCCACCGCCGCCGCCGCCACUGUGCAUGCACAGGUGGCGACUUCGGCCUCCUCCACGCCUCGAGCUGCCGGAGCAGUUUCCCGGCGCCACUCCAGCCCCGGCCGCCGCCUCCUCGCCGAACUCCCGGAAGAAUUGUCAAGAUUUUAUUGAAAGACAUAAUAGGGGUGUGGGCUGCCCUCGUCGUCUCCGGGCGGCUGAGCUCGCUGCCGGAAUCCGGCAGACUCAUAGAGAUAAGUUUUUCUUCUUCUUUCUAGUUAUUAAGGCACUAGGAUUUUAUUUUAUUUCCAUUUACUGAAUUUGAUGAAUUUGGAGUAUAUGCCUUGUUAUAUGGAUGAUUUAAUGGUAAAAUACACUAUAUUGUUAACUUGGGGGUGGGCAGAUUUUAUUUCCAAAUAUAUGCAGGCUUACAUAUAUAAAUGAAAGGAAAUGUUUGUUGUUUACCUUGUUGAUGCAGAAAGUAAAGUGUUGGGUUGUCGUUUUUUUUUAGUUGUGCAAUCUCCAUCGGACUCCUCUAUCUUUUGUGAGUUGGUGUGUGCAGAGAAAAUAGACUGUGUGGUGAUGAUGUGGGGGUGAAUAAAAGAAAUUGAUUGUAUCUCUAGAUGCGUACUCACCAAGGCAGUGAAAGUGAUAUGCAUACUCAGCAAGUUGCCUACCUAUUCUUAUCUCAAAUUAUUCUCCUUCGUCAGGAAGGGAUAUGAUUUGCAUGCACUAAUUAAAUGCAGCAUUUAAUGCUGUGUCUGAAAAAAAAUCGAUCCUAUCAAUCUUUUAUUUUUUUUAUUUUAUUUUUAUAUUAAAGUAAUUGUUUUAGUAUUUGUUCACUUGUUCAUUUAAUUUGGUGUGGGUAUGAUUGGUUCAAGUUUGUAGCUGUCCGCGUUGAAGUUUUCGAUUUUUCUUAGAACGCAGGAUGUAUAGAUUAAAUUUUGUUUGACUUUUGCUGGAUGUAUCGGACAUUAAAAUUUUAAUUAUGGAACCUGAUUCUUUUA